GAAGGCGGGGACACAGCUUGAAAGAGCUGCUAAUACCGCAUGUGUCUAUUGAAUGGCAUCAUUUAAUAAACAAAGCCGCAAGGCACUUCAGGAUGGGCCCGCGGCCUAUCAGCUAGUUGGUGAGGUAAUGGCUCACCAAGGCUUCGACGGGUAGCUGGUCUGAGAGGACGAUCAGCCGGAUUGGGACUGAGAUACGGCCCAG
rnacentral:rRNA from 1 species